CAGUAGUGGACAAUUUACGUGGUCUGGUCUACUUCAUUCCAGCAGAAUGCAACCUUCACUUCUGAUAUUUUUGCUGCUUCUAGUUCUGCCUGGCCGGAAAACAGCAAAUCUCUCAAAGUCAAUAGUGACCCUGCAUCCACCAUGGUUCAGGGUGCUCAGGAAUGACCUUGUCACUCUGAGAUGUGAAGGGCCUGGUGCCUCUGAAGACAACUCCACCCUUUGGUUCCACAAUGACACGAUUCUUCCAGUACAAAUCCAGGACUAUAACAUCACAGCCGACAAUAUCACAUAUAGUGGGAAGUACCAAUGUCAGAUAGGCCAGUUGGCCCUCAGUGAUCCUGUGAGGCUAGAAGUCUUCCAAGACUGGCUGCUACUCCAAACCUUGAAAUUGGUUUAUAUGGAAGGGGAGACCAUGGUGCUGAGAUGUCACAGCUGGGAAAACAGAGUCAUCACUAAAAUCACAUUCUUUAAAGAUGACAAAUGGAGAACAUAUUCUCCACGUAAUUCCAGCUUUACCAUCAAUCAAGUGAACUAUAAUGACAGUGGAAAUUACUUCUGUUCAGCGAACAUAGGAAAUAGGAGAGAAGAAUCAAAAGUGGUGAAAAUUACUGUCCAAGGUACAAAUGUAAUUCCACAUCCAUCCACGUCCUCAUCUUCUAAAAUUUGGUACUACAUCCUUUUCUACCUUGUGAUGGGAAUUCUGUUUGCAGUGGACACUGGUUUAUACUUCACACUUAAAACAGAGGUCAAUAGCCCAAAGAAGAACAUAAGGUACCUUGUAAGCAAAUGGAGUUAGCCAGCUGAUGGCUGGCUCAUCAGCCUGUGGAAUGACUGAGCUCUUGGCAUGGCCGCAACCCAUUCAUCUCUGUCUGCUUCUUCAUCUCCUGGUCCUCCAUCUCCUUCGUCCAUUCCUAAGAGCAGCAGAGGGGGACUCCUGUCACAUUUGGGAUUAGGGGUCUUCCCUACCCUUUGCCUCUAGUUUCUAUAGUUCUUCAGAGGAUAGAGAGGUGCCUAUGAGCAAAGUUGGCUGCCCCAGCUAGCACCCUUAUCAUUGUUGAGUUCCUAGGAGCUAUGGGCUAUACAAUUACUGACCCUUCGCUAGAUACAGAAGGACAAUGCAAAUGUAUGAAAUAAUUUUAGUAUUUUAAUAACAAAACUAGUAUACUAAUAAUUUAACAUUUUGACCAUAUCUGUCUGUUACAUGGAUGAUUUGAAGAAAGUCAUAGAUAUCAGUGUUAGAAGAUUAUUAAUACUAAGAGUUUGAAGAGGGAUGAAAGAUAAUAAAAGAAUGAAGAAGAGAAAGGCAGAAUCACAGGAAAGGUCAAAGACUGGGCUGGGUCAAGGGAAUCCUGCAAGAGAAGAGGCCACCUCAUUCAUCAGAAAAAGCAUGUGCAUAUACUUCCUCCCCUAAAGUGGAUUGGAAGGGAAUUACAAGGACAGAAUAUUGUAUACAUGUCAGACAAGGUUUCCUUAUAAGAUAUUUUUAUUUGGUUGCUUUUCUUUGUCAGAAGAGAGGAAAAUGACUACCGUGUUGAGACAAAAUACAACAAUAAUUUUAAGCCAAAUCAAAUAGCUAGAAAAUAAGUUAAAAGGGGGAAAAGCGUGUGACCAAGCUGACAUCCAGUGUAGUUGUAUUGUCUGGUCCUACUCAAGACUGUCCUGUUCCUGGCAGGACUUCAAAUGUUGUUUUAAAGGAAAUUUCCAUCAUCCCUUUUCAAUCUACUUAUUCAAUAAAUAUUUUUUCACAGUCCCUAUGGGCAAAGCACUAUGAUAAUCACUGUUGGAGAUUUAAAAAGAGACAAUGUCCUUAAACCUACAGAUCAUUGCCACAAUUUCCAUAAGGUGGUGGGGAUCCAAACCAGAUUUUAGGAUGUUAAGUAAUAUGGGUGAUGAGGAAGUACAGUCAGCUUUACCCCACUCCUUUAAAAAGUUCUCCAGUAAGUAGGAAAUAAAAGAAAAGAAUAAGCAUUAAGUACCUACUAUAUGUCAAGCAUGAGGCUAAGUGUUUUAGAAACAUCUCAUUUGAUUCUUAUAAUCCUGGUAUAAUUAUACUCAUUUUACAAAUGAAAAUGAGACAAAGGUCCAUUGAGUUCUUUAAGCUCAACUUUGAGAUAUGAGAUCAAAUUUGAACUCAGUUACUCUUCACUCCAAGCCCAUUGCUCUAUCCACUGUAUCACAUAGUGAUCUUUAAGUGAGAAACUAGAGAUUCAAGCAAGUGAACAUAGAGUUUGGGGUUUUGUUUUAAGAUGGGUAAAAGCCACAUGUGCUUGAAAACAAAAGAGGAGUUGUCAGUAACGGGAGAGAGUAAAGAUGUUUGGAAGAGACUAAAUAGUUGAAAGGAAAAGAUAGGAAAUAAUGAACUUAUGAGUAUAAAUACAACCUUAGAACUGAACAGGAAAUGUGAAGACAAAUGUUUCAAAGAGAUUAAAAACAAAAAGGGAGGUACUAUCUAUAUCAAAAUAUUUCUAGCAAGACUUUCCAUGACAGCAAAAACCUGGAAACAAAGUAGAUUUCCACAAUAAGGGAAUGUUAAACUAACUCUGGUAAUUAAAUGAAUUUUACUUUGCCACAAAAAAAUAAUGAAUAUGAUAAAUUCAAAGAAACAUUAAGAAGACAUUUCAAUAUAUGAACUUAUACAGAAUGAAAUAAACAAUCCAAAUGUA